UUUUAUGGAGAGUUUGAUCCUGGCUCAGGAUGAACGCUGGCGGCGUGCCUAAUACAUGCAAGUCGAGCGAACGGACGAGAAGCUUGCUUCUCUGAUGUUAGCGGCGGACGGGGGAGUAACACGUGGAUAACCUACCUAUAAGACUGGGAUAACUUCGGGAAACCGGAGCUAAUACCGGAUAAUAUUUUGAACCGCAUGGUUCAAAAGUGAAAGACGGUCUUGCUGUCACUUAUAGAUGGAUCCGCGCUGCAUUAGCUAGUUGGUAAGGUAACGGCUUACCAAGGCAACGAUGCAUAGCCGACCUGAGAGGGUGAUCGGCCACACUGGAACUGAGACACGGUCCAGACUCCUACGGGAGGCAGCAGUAGGGAAUCUUCCGCAAUGGGCGAAAGCCUGACGGAGCAACGCCGCGUGAGUGAUGAAGGUCUUCGGAUCGUAAAACUCUGUUAUUAGGGAAGAACAUAUGUGUAAGUAACUGUGCACAUCUUGACGGUACCUAAUCAGAAAGCCACGGCUAACUACGUGCCAGCAGCCGCGGUAAUACGUAGGUGGCAAGCGUUAUCCGGAAUUAUUGGGCGUAAAGCGCGCGUAGGCGGUUUUUUAAGUCUGAUGUGAAAGCCCACGGCUCAACCGUGGAGGGUCAUUGGAAACUGGAAAACUUGAGUGCAGAAGAGGAAAGUGGAAUUCCAUGUGUAGCGGUGAAAUGCGCAGAGAUAUGGAGGAACACCAGUGGCGAAGGCGACUUUCUGGUCUGUAACUGACGCUGAUGUGCGAAAGCGUGGGGAUCAAACAGGAUUAGAUACCCUGGUAGUCCACGCCGUAAACGAUGAGUGCUAAGUGUUAGGGGGUUUCCGCCCCUUAGUGCUGCAGCUAACGCAUUAAGCACUCCGCCUGGGGAGUACGACCGCAAGGUUGAAACUCAAAGGAAUUGACGGGGACCCGCACAAGCGGUGGAGCAUGUGGUUUAAUUCGAAGCAACGCGAAGAACCUUACCAAAUCUUGACAUCCUUUGACAACUCUAGAGAUAGAGCCUUCCCCUUCGGGGGACAAAGUGACAGGUGGUGCAUGGUUGUCGUCAGCUCGUGUCGUGAGAUGUUGGGUUAAGUCCCGCAACGAGCGCAACCCUUAAGCUUAGUUGCCAUCAUUAAGUUGGGCACUCUAAGAUGACUGCCGGUGACAAACCGGAGGAAGGUGGGGAUGACGUCAAAUCAUCAUGCCCCUUAUGAUUUGGGCUACACACGUGCUACAAUGGACAAUACAAAGGGCAGCGAAACCGCGAGGUCAAGCAAAUCCCAUAAAGUUGUUCUCAGUUCGGAUUGUAGUCUGCAACUCGACUACAUGAAGCUGGAAUCGCUAGUAAUCGUAGAUCAGCAUGCUACGGUGAAUACGUUCCCGGGUCUUGUACACACCGCCCGUCACACCACGAGAGUUUGUAACACCCGAAGCCGGUGGAGUAACCUUUUAGGAGCUAGCCGUCGAAGGUGGGACAAAUGAUUGGGGUGAAGUCGUAACAAGGUAGCCGUAUCGGAAGGUGCGGCUGGAUCACCUCCUUUCUAA
rnacentral:rRNA from 1 species